ensembl:snRNA U4 U4 spliceosomal RNA
AGCUUUGAACAGUGGCAGUAUCGUAGCCAAUGAGGUUUAUCCGAGGCGCAAUUAUUGCUAAUACAAUAUGUGAUCCUUUACCAAUAUGUUUUCCUUCUAUAGAUCAACUGCUGUCAUAGAAUGAUUUCC